UCUAACCCUGCUUGAACACUGGUUCAAUGUAACAGUUUUCAUGUAUUUCUCUGUCGGUAAAAUAAAUUAGUUUAGUUUUUUACUCUCUUAAAAACUCAAAUUAUUUAAUAAUUUAGAUAACCUUCUCCUUAGAGUCCAGGGUAUUUAAUUCUCUGAAAAUGCAGAUGUGAUAGUUUGAACUCGUCUGGAAGAAAUCCUCAUGAUUUCUAGUUGCCCGGCUAUGAUUACAGUAGAAAAUAAUAAACAUUUCUCUGGUGUUAAAAAUCCUGAGGGUGACCAUAUGCUAUCAGUUAUGUUUAUAGAAUGCCUCAGUGCUGCAGAGUUGAGAGAUGUGUUGUGUUAAGGAAUUGGUUCUGUCUGCUGUCUCAUUCAUCAGGCUUCAUCUUUCUCCCUCAUCUGUACCUGGGCUCUAUAAAGGACAGGCCGAGCUGGUUGGUUUUUGUGACACUCCUCCCUUUAUUUUUCUCUGUAGGUGACAUUCAUUUCAUUUUUUUCUAUAGAAAAACAUUUUAUUUCUGUUAUAGUUAAUAGCUAAGAGCUUGAAGUAAACAAGAAAUUAUAUGGCAUGAAAUAUGAGUCAAUCUUUCCUUAUUACUGCAGCAUAGAAGACGUACAUGCUGUUGACUGAGAGAGAGCUAUUCAUAUAAAACAUUGAGGCACAUAGAUCAAAUUUCCAGGAAGUUAUGAUUAUUUUUGUCUGAAAAAUUCUAUCACUUUAUUAUGCCUUCUAAAUACAGACUAGAGCUGAGAUUUUAAAUUACAUUUUGAUAAAGUCAAGAGUGAUAGAUUUUUUUUUCUCUUUAUGUCUUUGCUUCUGUGUUAAAAUCUAGACCAAACUAUGCCUACACAGCCUCUGUCUACAGAGAGCCUGUAAGUUAGCAAAAAAAUCAGUAAACAUGUAAUUAUAAUUAUUGAUUUCUCAUACAGUGUCCAGCAUGUCCCUAAUGCAAUUUGGGGAUACCUAUUAAAGGCACGGUUGGUACAAAAAGAAUUUACCGUUAAUUUUGCUGAAGGACAAGAUUAAGGUUAUGAAAUUGCUGCUAUUCAAAUGCUUUUGGCUUAAGAAAAUGGCAACUGCAUAUGAUUCAAAGUAGUAAUUGUGAAUGACAAAACAAUAUAUAAUUAGAUGUCAAAUUAUGGGAUAUAAACUAGAAGGACUAUAGAGGCUUUUGUAGGUACAGUAGAAGGAGGCUGGAUUAGUGGGAGAAUGUUGUGUGGAUGGAUAUUGUUGGGAGAAGUGAAGAUGACUGUGGUAGGCAUCCCAGGCAAGAAAAGCUGUGAAGGUGAGUGCGAACAGGGAGUGAAGUUCAGAUGACUAGCUGGGGAUGGGCUGGGGCUGGGCUGGGAAAGAAUGGAACAGGGAAAGCCAGCUGGGCUGCUAUAACACUAAUCAUAGGUCUGAAGAUCCCAGCUAGGGCACUGGUACAAAUGGAAGAGAUAUAUUCCCUGGAGGAUGAGAAACAUACUCAAGGGAAUAUAUUUCCCCCUGGCUGGACACGAUUCCUACUCUCUGAAUCCACCUUGUCCAUCACUCAUGCAUCAGUGAUAUUUAUGUUCCGGUUAGGUGUUAGAUCUGGCGAUAGGUGCUGUGUGUACCAGACACAGUUUCUGACCUCUGGUGUAGUAUUGCUGGUUAAGUACAUAUGUCUUAUCUCCUCAAACCAAUGAUAAGUUUUAGUGGAACACGGACCAUGGAUUUUUGCACUCAUUCUUUGAAAAUUGUAAUAAGUGACUAUAUAUGACAGCCAUUAUUGACAUAAAAAUGAAAAGCCACAUUUUGGCUCUCAAAAAGAUUCAGACAAGCAGUUAUAAUCAAAUAUGAUAAUUGUUACCAGCCAAUUGCAAUGAGAUUAAUCCUUAAAUUUUCCUGGAAGUGUUAAAGACUUCAAAGAAUAAUGAGCUUUUGAGCUGAGACUUAAAGGGUAGAGGUGUUUUGGAGGAAUGCAGGUGAAGCAUGGGUGGCUCAGGGAGAUGGAACAGCCUGUAAAAAAGGUGAUGUGAAGGGCACAGUGACAUGUCACAGGAUGUACAUAUGUGCUAAUAUUGCUGACUGUAGGGUACAAUGGGGAAAAGAGAUUGUGCAAAUGCGCAGGGGCUGGAUUAACACCCACGGGUAUUAUGCAAGAGAGCUUAGGUCAUAUGUUAUGAUGAAGCAUGUUGAUUAGGCAAGAUAUAUGUAGACUUGUAGGUUAUAACGAUUCCCUGUAGAAAAAUUCAGAUAGAGAGAAAGAGGGGCAUGAUUGGGCAGGAGGAUGGGAAGAGAGGCUACUGAAGCUGUCUGUGACAGGUAAGCCAGGAGCAAUGAGGAUAGAAAGGAGGAGAAAAUAUAGAAAGUAAUUGAGAGGUAAAAAUGGACAGACCUUGGUGUUUGAUGGAAUGUAGGGGAUAAAAUGGAGAGAGGACAGGGACCUCAUCUGUCUUGUUCAUCGCUGUAUCUUCAGUACCUACAAGAAUGCCUUAUCUAGGUGCCCAGUAAGUAUUUGUCAAAGUGAAAGGAAGCAAGAAAUCCAAAUGACUCCUAGGUUUCUAGCUGAAACAGAAUGUUUACGCCAAUCACCAAGAGAAGGGACACAGAGGAGAAGGUUAUCUAUUCACCCAUGGACCACUGUGAGACAUCUAGGUGGUUUCUAGAAGUGCCAGCCUAUGAGACACGCUUUAUAGUGGUGCGGGACAAGAAGAAGAGCUAAUGAAGGAACUGCCAAAUAUGACUGCAGGGAGCAGAGAGAUGGUUAGGUUAGGUGACAAUCAUGUCAAGAGAGACUUUCAAGUUGUGUGUUUGACAGUCAAGAUGUCCAGAGAAUUCAGUGAUGAGAAUGAAGUCUGGCAAAAUCAAUGUUCUGUUUUGGAGGACUCAGGGAAGAGUGUCAUUAAUAUUGGGAAUAAAAGUCCUUUGUGUGGACAUACCAGAAGUUAGAAGCUGACUUACAUUUCAAGUGAUUAUAUAAACUCUGUAGCUUUGUGCAUCUCUUACCCUGAGAAAGAUUAAAGGAACAUAUGGAACAUUUCCAUCAUAAUAACCAAUAUUAAGUCAGAGAUCAAUAUUAAUAAACAAUAAGAAUAAUACCUAAAAGUGAUGAUACCACUACUAAAAACACUGACUCAGGUCAUCAUUUCUCUCAUAUAGAACAGGCAAUUGUAAAUUGUAUGGUUAAUAUUUCAUCAUAUAACAUGUUUUAAAGGAAUAUGCAUUGAUUAAUACAUUUUUUCUACAUAAAUUGAUGAAUCAUCCUUAUUUUAUAAUAUUAAGGGUGGUAACCUUAGUCCAUCCCUGUUUGUGAUCUAAUUUAGAGGGUCCCUAGAGGUUUUUUUUUUUUUUAGACAUUGCUCUCAAAUAUUAGUUACAUAAAAAGCAACCAAGGCACUUAAUAAAAUUCUUCUUUCAAUUCAAACCCGAUAAAAUUCUUCUUUUAAUUCAAAGCCCUUAACAGACAACAUGUGAUUCUGAUACAGGUAAGAGGAGGCACUGCUUGGAGAAACACUGUCUUGAAGAGCGAUUUGUUGCAGCUUGCAUUUUUCUUAAACUGGUAUUCUUGCGCCCUCAAGUGGUACCGUGCGGAAUUCUGCAGCAGUAUAUUGACUGGGAACUGCCAGAAAUUGAGGCUGGUUUCAGAAGAGGAUGUGGAAACAGGGAUAUCAUUGCUGAUGUCGGAUGGAUCCUGGCUGAAAGCAGAGAAUACCAGAAGGAGGUUUACCUGUGUUUUAUCGACUAUGCAAAGGCAUUCAACUGUGUGUACCAUAACAAAUUAUGGAUAACAUUGUGAAGAAUGGGAAUUCCAGAACACUUAAUUGUGCUCAUGAGGAACCUUUACAUAGAUCAAGAGGCAGCUGUUUGGACAGAACAAGGGGAUACUGGUUGGUUUAAAGUCAGGAAAGGUGUGGAUCAUGGUUGUAUUCUUUCACCAUACCUAUUCAAUCUGUAUGCUGAGCAAAUAAUCCAAGAAGCUGGACUAUAUGAAGAAGAACGGGGCAUCAGGAUCUGAGGAAGACUCAUUAACAACCUGCAUUAUGCAGAUGACACGACCUUACUUGCUGAAAGUGAAGGGAACUUGAAGUACUUACUAAUGGAGAUAAAAACCACAGCCUUCAGUAUGGAUUGCACCUCAACAUAAAGAAAACAAAAAUCCUCACAACUGGACCAAUGAGCAACAUCAUGAUAAAUGGAGAAAAGAUUGAAGAUGUCAGGGAGUUCAUUUUACUUGGAUCCACAAUCAACAGCCAUGGAAGCAGCAGUCAAGAAAUCAAAAGAUGCAUUGCAUUGAGUAAAUCUGCUGCAAAGGACCUCUUUAUAGUGUUGAAGAGCUAAGAUGUCACCUUGAAGACUAAGGUGCGCCUGACCCAAGCCAUGGUAUUUUCAAUUGCAUCAUAUGCAUGUGAAAGCUGGACAAUGAAUAAGGAAGACCAAAGAAGAAUUGAUGCCUUUGAAUUGUGGUGUUGGUGAAGAAUGUUGAAUAUACCAUGAACUGCCAAAAGAAUGAACAAAUCUGUCUUGGAACAAGCACAACGAGAAUGCUCCUUAGAAGCAAGGAUGGCGAGACUGUGUCUUACAUACUUUGGACAUGUUGUCAGGAGGGAUCAGUCCCUGGAGAAGGACAUCAUGCUUGGCAGAGUACAGGGUCACCGGAAAAGAGGAAGACUCUCAACGAGGUGGAUUGACACAGUGGCUGCAACAACGAGCUCAAGCAUAACAACAAUUGUAAGGAUGGCUCAGGACUGGGCAGUGUUUUGUUCCAUUGUGCGCAGGGUCACUAUGAGUCAGAACUGACUUGAUGGCACCUAACAACAACAACAGCUAGUGAUGGUGAGCAUUUCCUCAUGUGUCUGUUAGCUGCCUGAAUGUCUUCUUUGGUGAAGUGUCUGUUCAUAUCCUUUGCCCAUUUUUUAAUUGGAUUAUUUGUCUUUUUGUUGUAGAGGUGUUGGCUUUUCCCAUAGAUUUUAGAGAUUAGACCUUUGUUGGAUACGUCAUAGCCAAAAACUUUUUCCCAGUCUGUAGGUUCUCUUUUUACUUUUUUGGUGAAGUCUUUUGAUGAGUGUAAGUGUUUAAUUUUCAGAAGAUACCAGUUACCUAACUUAUCCUCUGGUGUUUGUGUAUUGUUAGUUACGGUUUAUAUCCUAUUUAUGCUGUAUAUUGGAGCCUCUAGCAUUGACCAUAUUUUUCUUCUAUGAUCUUUAUGGUUUUGGCUUUAUAUUUAGGUAUUUGAUCCACUUUGAGUUAGUUAUUGUGUAUGGUGUCAGGUAUGGGUCCUGUUUCAUUUUUCUUCAGAUGGGCAUUCCAUUUUGCCAGCACCAUUUGUUCAAAAGACUGUCUUUUUCGUAUUUAAUGGACUUUGGGCCUUCACUGAAGAUCAAAGUGACUGUAGGUGGAUGGAUUUACAUCUGGGUUCUUAAUUCUGUUCCAUUGGUCAAUGUGUCUGUCAUUGUAUCAGUACCAGACUACCACAGCUGUACAGUAGGUUCUGAGGUCAGGUAGUACGAGUCCUCCUACUUUAUUCUUUUUCUUCAGUAGUGCUUUAGUUAUCCAGGGCCUCUUUUCUUUGCAUAUAAAGUUAAUGAUUAGCUUUUCCAUCUAGUUAAAGAAUGUUAUUGCUAUUUGGAUUGGGAUUGCAUUGUAUUUGUAGAUUGCUUUGGGUAGAAUUGACAUUUUCACAAUGUUGAGUUUACCUAUCCAUGAGCAUUAACCACCAACAUUUAGGUUAGCAGCCAACUAAAAACUGCUUGUGCCACCCAGGGACCUUUAGUAGGAACAGAAAAUGGUAAAACAAGUUCAGGGACAAAUGUGGACAGAAAUGGAUGGAUACAGCAAUGGGCUCAAACAUAACAAUCAUUGUGAGGAUGUCGCAGGACCAGGCAGUGUUUCCUUCUGUUGUACGUAUGGUUUCUAUGAAUCAGAACGAACUCAAUGGCACCUAACAGUGACAACAACAACAUUAGCCAGUUACCCUCCCUUUUUGUCCAGGCUGUGAUCUUCUUAUGGCAAACUCUUCCCCUCCUUCUUUACUCUGUUUACUUCCUAAUAGUCCCAGCUGUCUUUUCUUUUCCCACCCCAAGAGGACCACAGGAAACAGAAAGAGGAUUUGCCUUUACCCUCCCACCCUAUCUCUUGGAAUGGCAUUCCCAAAGAAAACAAUGUUCUUAGGAUUUAUUUUAAUUGGUUCAGGACAACUUGUUAGAAGGAAGGAGUGUUGUCUUGAUUACCUUAUGUUGCUUCCUUCUCCUCAGGAGAUGCUGGAUCUCCAGGGAAGUAGUAAAACUAGAAUUUUUACAAGUCUUAAGAAAUAUUCUUGCUUCGGUAUCUAAUGCUUAAAACAAAAGAGCUUUUCACGUCUGGUUAAAAUUGUUUACACAGCAAAUAACUGUACUAAAUUGGGAAAAAGUUCUAGUUAUCAGAAGCUUUUAUUUCUGUGUUUUCUUUUGUUCCAUGUGACUGUUCAAGUAGGGUAUUUGUUUGGAAUAAGCUGAAUACUUUGCUAUGAUAUUUUAUCAAAAUCUUAUCAGCUAAUUUGGUGGGAAUUAUGGCCUAGGAUAAGUGUAAUUUUACUCAAAACUCAUUAGAAUCUAAAGUAGGGAUUUUGAGACAUGUAAUGACUUAUAUUUAUUUAUUAUCUAAUGAAAGAAUUUACUGUGUGUGUUCUAGAGGUAAUAAAACUCCUCCCAUCAGGUCUUUCACUUUCAGUAGUGUGGAGUAUAGGGUGGUCGAGGGAAAUGGAAUGUACUGGAGUUGAAACAGAAUAAAAACACUGAGAGUCUUUUCUGCUCUGACAGGGAUCACAACAGAGGGUACCAGACAGAGCUGCAGAAAAAUGUAGAACAAAAUUCUAACUCACAAAAAAAGGCCAGAUUUACUGGUCUGACAAGGACUAGAGAAACCCCGAGAGUACGGCCCCAGACACUCUUUUAAUUCAGUACUGAAGUCACUCCCGAGGUUCACCUUCAGCCAAAGAUUAGACGGGUCCAUAAAACAAAACGAGACUAAAGAGGCAUAUCAGCCCAGGGGCAAGGACAAGAAGGCAGGAGGGGACAGGAAAGCUGGUGAUGGGGAUCUCAAGGUUGAAAAAGAGAGAGUGUUGACAUGUCGUGGGAUUGGCAACCAACCAUGGUAGCAUAGUGGUAAAGUGCUACAGCUGCUAACCAAAAGGUCGGCAGUUUGAAUCCACCAGGCACUUCUUGGAAACUCUAUGGGGCAGUUCUACUCUGUCCUGUAGGGUCACUAUGAGUCGGAAUUGACUUGACAACAACGGGUUUGGUUUUUUCUUUUUGAUUUGGUCACAAAACAAUAUGGGUAUUAAUUGUUUAAUGAGAAACCUAAUUUGCUCUGUAAACCUUCACUUAAAGUACAAUAAAAAAAAAAGUCUUUUAAUGUUGGCAUUAAAAGCAGUGAAAAUAUAAUUCAAUUAAAUUUAAUACUAAAAUAGAAAGCAGAAUGAUUUUCUUUUUAACUUUUCUACCUGUUAAUAAUUUAUCACUGAGUCUACUUAAAAAUGAAGUACAUUUAGGUAAGAUCAAAAAAUUCAUAUUUCAUUUAUAUUUCACUGUCAGGCCCUGUGCUAGAUGCUGUUGGCACGAAGGUAAAUAAAGCACAGUCCCUACCCUCAAGGAAGUAGUGUGUGGUCAAUAAAUUUAUUCAACUGAACUGGACAGAAAGUUGAGGCUUGGCUGACAACCAGAAAUUAACCUGGCAAACGAAGGGGAAAUGUUUCAGGUAGAAGGAACUGGAUGUUCUGAGGUGUAGAGGCCAAAACAUGUUAUACUCAGGGAUCUCACUAAGUUUGAAAACUUUAGAAAGGAGUAUAAAAAGGGAGAGUGGAAGGAACUGAAAUAAGAUAGUCAGACAGAGGUCAGAUAAUGAAGGGCUUGAUAUUUUCCCCAUAAUCCUUCAGUAGUUGGGCAAUGAUAGAUGUUAUCUUUUACAAAUAUCACUCUGAUGUCUAUGUGAAGGUCAGAUUAGGCACAGAGGGCUGGAGGACCAACCUUCAGUCAAGAAUGAAAAAGAGGAGUUUGAUGAUAAUCAAGAAAUCUUAACAAGGAGUUAAGCUUACUCAGAAUUAUAAGUGUAAGGAAAUUUAUGGUAACUCAUUGAAAAGGGUAUGGUGUGGCAUUUAUCUAAAUAGUUAAGUAAUAGAAAUGUGUUAUCAAUGUUAGUGUCCAAUCUGAAUUAAGUGUAUGACACAAUUUUAUACCAUUAAAAAGAAACACAAACUAUAUUGAAGGUUGAGAAUAACCAGGCACACAGGAGUGGCUCUGUCAGGUCCUCAGCAUUUCUUAGUCUAGAGCUGUACUGUCCAAAAUCAGAGCCACUCACCCCAAGUGGCCACUGAGCACUUGGGAUAUGGCUGGGCCUGAUUCAGAUGGGCUUAGUAUGAAAAAAUGAAUAUAAACUAGCUUAUUCAUAAUAUUUUAUAUGCAUUAACUAUUAGGUUAAAUAAAAAGAGAAGCAAGUAUCUCUUGACAUGGAAGGUCUUCCUUUCAAAUUUUUACCACUGUUUUAGUUAUCUAGUGCUGCUAUAAAAGAAAUACCACAAGCGAGUGGCUUUAACAGAAAUUUGUUUUUCACAGUUUAGGAGGCUAAAAGUCUGAAAUCAGGGUGCUGGCUCUAGGGGAAGGCAUUCUGUCUCCGUGGGCUCUAGAGGAAGGUCCUUGUCUAUUUAGCUUUUUUCCUGGUUCCUUGGAGAUCUCUAUGUGGCUUGGCAUCAAUUGUCCCCCAUCUCUGCUUCUCUCACUUGCUUGUUUAAUCUCUUUUAUAUCUCAAAAGAGGUGGACUCAAGAUAUAUGCUACACUAAUCCUGCCUCAUUAACAUAACAAAGACAACCCAUUCCCAAAUGGGACUAUAACCACAGGCAUAGAGGUUAGGAUUUACAGCACAUAUUUUUGGGUAAUACAUUUCAAUCCAUAACAACCACCCAUUCAGAUUAUCUUCUCUAUCUAGCCUUUGAAACGUCUUAUGCUAAGGUCGCCAGUGACCACCAUCUUUCCAAUGUCAAUUUACUGUGUUCAUAUUACUCAGCCUCUCAAAAGCAACUGGCAUUGUGAUUAUUCUUUUUCUCUUUAAAUUUUUUUUCAUAAUUUCCAGGAAACUGUGCCCUCCUAUUGUUCUUCCUACAUCAAUAAUCAUCCCCCCUCGUUCUCCCUUCCUUCCAGUUAUCUUCAUCUAGAAUCACUCUCUAGUUAAUCUUAAGUAACAUCCACAGGUGGUUUUCCUGAGUAAUAUUCUCUAUUCCUGACUUCUUCCCACAGCUUCAGAUUCAUACGUCCAACUGUCUACUAAAUAUCUACAUUUAUAUGUUCAACGGGAAUUUCAGACUGAACAUAGAGAAGACAGAACUCUUUAUUCUUUUAUCUUUAUAACCUUUUCCCCCAACCCAUCUCUUUCCCAGUCUUCCUUCUUUUUGCUGGGAAAACUAGACAUCAUUCUUAAAUUGUUUCUCUCUCUGUCACCUCGACCUAUCCUCUGUCAAAUCCUGUUAACUUCAUCUUCAAAAUACAUCCUGAGUGCCACUACUUCUCACCACCUCCAUCAAUGUUACCAUAGUUCAAUGCACUAUUUUCUCUAGCCUGAACUACUGUACUGUAUUUGUUUCUCAACUAGUUUCCCUUUUGCCACUUUUGACCCCUUACAGUCUAUUUUCCAUAUGACAGUGUGAAAUUUUUUAAAUGUGAAUUACGUAUUCAAAGCCCUCCAAUGUCUUCCCUUGACUUUGAAACAAAAUAAAACUCCUUAACAUAGCCUAUAACGUUCUACUCUUCAAAUUUGGUUUAUGCCAGUUUUCUCCUGCUCAUUCUGCUCCAGCCACUUCGAACAAGCCAAGCACACUCCUGGCCCAGGGCCUUUGGUCUUGCAGUUUUCUCUACCUGAAACUUAUUCUCCGUGAAACGUGCAUGGCUUCCUCCUUCACUUUCUUCAAGACUCUGUUCAAGUAUUACCUCUUCAAAGAGGUCUUUUCUGAUGACCCCAUUAAACUAUUAAUCCCCUCAUAAAACAAACAAAAACUUGUUGCUGUUGAUUUGAUUCUGAUACUGUACUCCAUAUAUAAGGUUUUCAGUGAUUAGUUUUUCAGAAGUAGAUUACCAGGCUUUUCUUCUGAGGUCCUUCUGGGUGGAUUCUAACCACUAACCUUUUGUUUAGUAGCUGAGAGCUUAACCUUUUGGGCCACCCAGGGAGUCCUAAUCACCUUUUACCCCAGUCAUUCUCUAUUUCCUUCUUCUGCUUUAUUUAAAACCUGUUGCAGUCAAGUUGAUUCCUACUCAUAGCAACCAGUAGGGCAGAGUAGAGCUGCUCCACAGGGUUUCCAAGGCUGUAAAUCUUUAUGGAAGCAGACUGCCACAUCUUUCUCCUGUGGAAUGGCUGGUGGGUUUGAACUGCUGACCUUUUGGUUAACAGCUGAGCGCUUAACCACUUCACCACUGGGGCUCCUUCUGUUUUACUUACCAUGCCUAAUUAUAUUAUAUGCUAUUUAUUUUCUUAUUUUUUAUUGCCCGUCUUCCCAAUUAGAUUACAGAUUUCAUGAGAGCAGAGAGGUUGCCUAUGGUUAACCUGCAGGAUGUACAGUAUUGCCUGCCUGUUUAGAACACAGUGAUGUAUAUUUUAUAUGUUAAUUUCUGCUGUUAUGGUUCAUCUAGUGUCUUAAAUGCUCUGUUUUUAUGUGACUAAGUGUAACUUGGAGCUAUUGGUUGAAUUGGAAAAUAGAAUUUUAACCCCAUCACCCAUAAUAAUCAUUGUUUAUUUGAAUUCAUUUUCUGCAUUUUUCUAGUCAUUUGCUUCUAAAACAUCAGAAUGUUUCUGAAUUUUGCAAUGAUAUCGGAAUCUCAUGUUCUUCUAGUAUGGCAAAAAUUACAAUAUGUUGUGUAUGGAUACCCACCCACUGUCACUGAGUGGGUUCUGACUCAUAGCGACCCCAUAGGGUUUCCAAGGCUGUUAAUCUCUACGGAAGCAGACUGCUGCAUCUUUCUCCCUUGGAGCCACUGGUAGUUUCAAACCACAGACCUCUAGGUUAGCAGUCGAUUGCUUUAACCACUGUGCCACUAGGGCUUCUUUGUAUGGAUACUUACAUAAAAAAUUAUGAUAAUAUGUUAUAUGCAGAUACACCAUACUUAUUCAAUCUGUAUGCUGAGAAAAAUAAUCUGAGAAACUGGACUAUAUGAAGAAGAAUGCAGCAUCAGGAUUGGAGGAAGACUCAUUAACAACCUGCCAUAUGCAGGUGACACAACCUUGCUUGCUGAAGGUGAAGAGGCCUUGAAGCACUUAUUGAUGAAGAUCAAAGACCAUAGCCUUCAGUAUGGAUUACACCUCAACAUAAAAAAAAAAAAAAAAAUUCC